rnacentral:rRNA from 1 species
GAUGAACGCUGGCGGCGUGCCUAAUACAUGCAAGUCGAGCGAACGGACGAGAAGCUUGCUUCUCUGAUGUUAGCGGCGGACGGGUGAGUAACACGUGGAUAACCUACCUAUAAGACUGGGAUAACUUCGGGAAACCGGAGCUAAUACCGGAUGAUAUUUUGAACCGCAUGGUUCAAAAGUGAAAGACGGUCUUGCUGUCACUUAUAGAUGGAUCCGCGCUGCAUUAGCUAGUUGGUAAGGUAACGGCUUACCAAGGCAACGAUGCAUAGCCGACCUGAGAGGGUGAUCGGCCACACGGGAACUGAGACACGGUCCAGACUCCUACGGGAGGCAGCAGUAGGGAAUCUUCGGCAAUGGGCGAAAGCCUGACGGAGCAACGCCGCGUGAGUGAUGAAGGUCUUCGAAUCGUAAAACUCUGUUAUUAGGGAAGAACAUAUGUGUAAGUAACAGUGCACAUCGUGACGGUACCUAAUCAGAAAGCCACGGCUAACUACGUG